AUACGGAGGGUGCAAGCGUUGUUCGGAAUUACUGGGCGUAAAGCGCGUGUAGGCGGUCGGGCAAGUCGAAUGUGAAAUCCCCGGGCUCAACCCGGGAAUUGCAUCCGAAACUGCUUGGCUAGAGUCCCGGAGAGGAAGGCAGAAUUCCCAGUGUAGGGGUGAAAUCCGUAGAUAUUGGGAGGAAUACCAGUGGCGAAGGCGGCCUUCUGGACGGUGACUGACGCUGAGAUGCGAAAGCGUGGGGAGCAAACAGGAUUAGAUACCCCGGUAGUCC
rnacentral:rRNA from 1 species